CAGACACUCUGCUCUCGAAAGAAUGAGAUGGUCAGAGUGGUGCCCCUGCCUUCAGUUGGCUCCAUAUUUAAGCACAAAAACCAGAAAAGGGAAGUUUGGGGGUUCAGGCAACGUAAGCAAGCCUGAAAGUUGUGGUCAAGUAGUCUCCAGUUGGCCCCAUAGAUCAUUCUGUGUUCUUGGGGGAAUUUUCAUGAACAAAAGAGUCCAAACUGCCCCAGUCAUGAGCUUUUUGAGUGUCAUGGCUGAGUUCACAAAGUGGAGUCACCGUAGUCAAGCUGUCACAUCACACACAUAAAAGCAGGUUUUUCUUUCUCUGUUCUGGCCAAGUUAACCCUUCAAGGACAGCACCUGAGGAGGGGAGAGCUUCUUCUCCCCUUUCUUUCCUUCCCCACCAGCUGUUACCAUGGAGCCCAGUUGGUGACUUCUCUGUGAAACCCAGCUCAAGGCCAGAGGCCUUGUUUGCACUUUUCUACAAACUACUAUACUGGAUACAAGUGUGUAAAAAACUAGGAAAGGGGAGUCCAGCACCUGGAGUGCUGAUUUCUUCCAGACUAGCAGCCCAGUAAAAUAGGGCAACACAAAAAUAGGAAGUUUAUCUACACUGAAUUUUUUUUGUGGACACUCUUUUGUUGACAGUCCUAAAAUUAGCCAUGGUGAAGAUUUCUGGAGAAACCCAGUUAAUUUUUUUUUUGUGAAAAAAGGGGAUGCCACUGUAAUAAUGUCUGAUUCCUUGACUGUCCUUCAUCCCCAGCUCUUUUCAGUAUGAUUUUCAGAAAGGAUCUGGCUAUGGUGCCCAGCUAGGCCUGAAAAUUGUGAUUCUCCUGCCUCUGCUUCCCAAUCUGUUGGGUUUAAAGGCAUCGACAACCCCAGCUACAGAAAAUAGUUCAUUUUAACCCAAAUAUUAAUUAUCAUACUAAGGAACAUAGAUUCAAGUUACCCUGAAGAUGUGUGUGUUCCUCUCUGGAAGAGAUUACAUCACUUCUUUUUUUCUUUCUUUUUCUUUAUUUUCUUGCCUUCCUUCCUUCCUUCCUUCCUUCCCCUUCCUCCCUUCCUUCCUUCCUUCCUUCCUUCCUUCCUUCCUUCCUUCCUCAUACCAGGGAUUGAACCCAGGGUCACUUAAACACUGAGCCACAUCCCCAGUCCUUUUUAUAUUAUAUUUUCAGACAUGAUCUCACUAAGUUGCUGAGUCUGGCUUUGAAUUUAGCAAUCCUCUUAUCUUUGCCUCUCAAGCUGCUGGGAUUACAGUUGUGUGCCACUGUGCCUGGCCUCCAUGAACUUUUAUAAAAGAAAGUGUGUAUCACUGCAUUAACCAAUUGCAUUGGUAGGAACAUCAGUUUGGUGGGGCACAGAAGAAAAAAAAUAAAAUUUCUUCUGUAUGUCUGCUAUUGCAUUCUGGGCUUUGGUAGAUUUUGGAGAUGUCUGGUAAGGUCAGUGAUAUAUUCUGAGAAGUUUUGAGAUUGUGGUGUGAUACAGAAAUUAAGAUGAUUGGCUAUUGAAGAGCUUAGGAUUAGCCCAAGAUAAUGUUUGCUCUCCAUACAGAACCCUGCCUUUCCACCCUCGUGGUGGUCUAGUUAGGCAAAGUCAAGUACUCUGAAGGUUCUUUGAUGGAGAUGCAACUGUAUAGAGAACUUGAGUUCACAGCUGUAAAAAUCUUGUGCUUUUUCUUUUAUCUUCCUUAGGUGUAGACACCAUGUCAGAUUUCUUGGGCAGAGGUUCCCUUUGGGCACGUCCCAGAGUCCCAUGUCCUCAGCCACUAUCCUCUCCUGGAGCUGCCACAGAGUGCCCACAGCUGCCCUGUGCCUUGCAGGGUGAACAGAAUUUCAGGCCCUGGGUCAGCUCCUCCUAGAGGACAGCCUGAGGUGUGGGGUGCAGCCUCUCAGGGAAGCUGCUGGGGGCCCUGGGCUGAGGAAUCUCCUGGAAAAGGCCUCAUCUAAACAGCUACUUCCUUGGGACCUAGUUUUCCCCAAGCUCUGUUCCCAUUCCUUGGAGACAGGUGGACAGUCAGCCUGUGGAUGCGGGUGCUGAGGGGCCAGGUCAGCAGUGACUCCUGCCCUUUCAGUCUCUCACAGUGUGAAGGAGCAAAUCCUCUCCCAGAACAUAAGGACCACCCACCCCAGGGCAGAGCUGUGCAGACCUGAAAAGCCUCAUAGACUGGAGUCAUGGUCCAGGUGCCUGGGAGGGUGAUCCUGGAUGCUUUUUCCAUGAGCAAGACCAGGAGGUAUCAUGUCCCAGCUGUCAGGGACCUUCCCUGCCCCUUGAGCCUGACACAUCUGUGCUCUCUCAACACCAAAGCUUUCUGUGUAUCACUUUGAAAUGAUGUGCUCACUUAUCUGAGGCCCAGGUUUAUUUAUUCAGAACCAAAUGGGAUGGAAUAUUAUUAAAGAGGCAAGAGAGAUGUGGGUUAAAAUCUACCUUUUUUUUGUUGUUUUGUAAAAAAUCCCAGCUUACAGCCAGAUACAAUGGUGCACACCUGUGAUCCUUCCUGCUCCAGAGGCUGAGACAGGAGUGUUGCAAAUUUGAGGACAGCCUUAGCAACAUAGCGUGGCCUUUUGCAACCUGGUGAGACUGUGUCUCAAAAUAAAAUAUAAAAAUGACUGGGGAUGUGGCUCAGUAGUAAAAUAUCUCUGGGUUUAAUCUCGGGGGCAUCAAACAAAAAAGAAAAAAGAAAAAAAGGAAAAGAAAACACCUAAUUACCUAAUUUACCUUUGCUACCCCUGAGUAUGUAUAGAAAGUUUGUAAGAUUCAGAUUUGUCUUUUCAGUGGUUUGAAAUUGAAAUCCAACCCUAGAUUCCAAAAUACCACGUAAGAUACAGAGAAACUCUGUCUUGCAUUAUUGCUGCAGAAUUUGAGUCCAAUUCUACAAAAAUAGUGUUGCAUAAAUUUAUCAAUGUGAUUUCAUGAAAACUAGUAUCUGUCCUUCACAAGGUGAUGAUUUUGACAAAGGAUGGCAGUUUUUCACCGUUGUUGUCUGAACUUGGCAGGUUCAUGUUAACUGUGUGUUUUUUUGUUAUCAGGAAUGGAACCCUGAGGUGCUUAACCACCAGCCCCUUUUAAAUUCUUUAUUUUGAGACAGAGUCUUGUUACAUCAUCUAGGGCCGCUGGGGUUACAGGUGUGCACCAUCACACCGGUCUUCAUUGUAAAUUUUAAGGACAAUUUUGGCAAUACCUUGAAUACCCAACUGUAAUCAUUUAAUCACUGAAUAUCAGUGAAAGAGUAAAUGACACCUGUUUUCUGCAAAGGAGAGAUCCUUGUGUCUAAAUAAGGGUUUUGAUCCCCUCACAAUGUCACCUAAUUCCUGUUCCCUCCCAACUGCCUCCUUGUAGGGCCACGCCUUUGGGAGCUAGCCUUUUAGCUUAUGAAACUUGGGAGUAACAUAAAUGCUCUCUCUAUUCUCUCUGUCCUGUACAACAUUUUGGCUGGUCUUAGAUACAGUGUACUGUUUCCAGUUUUUUGAAAAGUAUUUUUUGUUGUUGCUGUAUUUGGACACAAUGCCUAUUUAUUUAUUUUUAUGUGGUGCUGAGGAUCAACCCUAGGGUCUCUCAUGUGCUAGGCAAGCACUCUACUGCUGAGCCAGAAUCCCAACCCUCCUAUUUCCAUUUUUAGAUGUAGUUUUUCUUAAGUUUACCUCCAAAAUACAACAAACCAUGCCCUAAAUUUUACAGAAUUUGCUGAAAUGCUCAGUGUUUUUUGAGAGAGUUUAGAUCAUGGGAACAUUCAGUCUUCUUUGUGAGAAAGUGUGGUGUCUUUCCACUGAUUUUGUGUGGUUUUAUGCCUCUAAUUGUGUACCUUUUGUAUUAUAAUCAUUUUUAUCUCUCAUUACAUGUAUUUUUACCAAGCUACUCUCCAGCCCAAGAGAAUUAGUAUUGUAGACUGUUGUUUAUUUAUUUGCUUACUUAUUGAGUGCUGGGAAUUUAUGCCAUGGGCUUGCUCAUUCUUCGUUAUCUUCCAGAAAUAAAUUUUAAUUUGUGAGCAACGUUCUGGAGGUGGGCAGGUGUUUUACUGGGGGAUAAACGUACAGGCACUCGACCACUGAGCACAUCCUCAGCCCUUCUUCUUAUUUAUUUCUUUUCUUUUUUUAAAAAAAUAUUUUGUAUAGUUGUAGAUGGAUAGAAUACCUUUAUUUUAUUUAUUUUUCUGUGGUGCUGAGGAUCAUACCCAGUGCCUCACACAUGUUAGCAAGUGGUCUGCCACUCAGCUACAGUCCCAGAGCCCCUUUUUAUUUUUGAUGAAGACCAAUCUCACUAAAUUUCUGAGUGUCUUGCUAUGUUGCUGAGACAGGCCUCAAACUUUUGCCAUUUCCCUGCCUUGACCUCCCUAGUGGCUGAAAUUACAGGUGCACACCACUCCACCAGCAGUUGCAAUGAGUUUUGAAGACUUAUCAUCCAAUUUCUUUCCAGAUGAAAAUAGUAUUGAAAAUCAGUUUUCUUGCUUUUGUUCACACUUUUGAAAUUUGUAACUGUGACUCUUCCUCUUUGCUUUAUUUUUGCAUUAUUAUGAAAAAGGUAUUUAGCAUAUAAUAUUGUUUCUUAUGUAUACAUUUUUAAAACUUCACGGCUUGGUAGUUUAUUUACUUCUUCAUUAGAUAAACUUUGUUUUUAUGAGCAAUUUUAGGCUUACAUAGUUUAUUAGUCAGUAUUCUCUAGUGGAAAAGUAUCAAGAGGAAGUAGCAUUAUCAAAGGGGAUUCAUUAGAUUGGCCUACUUGACCUGAAGGUGGAUGUCCACAGUGGCCAUCUGCAGGCUGGAGAGCUUGAGAGGUAGUAGCUGCAGAGUCCCAGAGGCUGAAGCCAAGACACCAUCCUAUUGGAUGGUGUUGCCUAGCUUAAAGAGGUUCUCCAGUUUGGCUCACUAUCCCAUAUGCCCAUCAUUUGUAGACACACCCUCAUGGACACACCCAGAAGCUCAUUAGUCAUCGGCAUCUUUUACUCCAAUCAAGGCGACAAUUAAAUGUGCCAUUACACAUAGUAUCAAAUACCCCUUCUCUCCAGCUGAUAGUCUCUACUGUUUUCAACAUAUUGCAUUGGUGUAGGGUGUUUGUUAGUUACUAAACCCGUGUUGAACAUUUGAUAAAGAGAAUGGAUGAAGCAGCAUUUAGGAUAAGCCAAAGUUCAUCCUUUACUUUAGGGUUCCUCUUCCUUGUGAUGUGAUUGUGUGUGUCACGUCGUAUGCAAUAGAAUGUCAUACAGAAGAGUUUCACUGCUCUGGGAAUCUUGUGUUCCACCUGUUCAUCACUCCUCCUCAUUGCUUCCUCCCUCUCUGCUCCCUAAGUCCCUGGCACU
rnacentral:lncRNA from 1 species